rnacentral:rRNA from 1 species
GACGAACGCUGGCGGCGUGCCUAAUACAUGCAAGUAGAACGCUGAAGGAGGAGCUUGCUUCUCCGGAUGAGUUGCGAACGGGUGAGUAACGCGUAGGUAACCUGCCUGGUAGCGUGGGAUAACUAUUGGAAACGAUAGCUAAUACCGCAUAACAGUAGAUAUCGCAUGAUAUCUGCUUGAAAGGUGCAAUUGCAUCACUACCAGAUGGACCUGCGUUGUAUUAGCUAGUUGGUGAGGUAACGGCUCACCAAGGCGACGAUACAUAGCCGACCUGAGAGGGUGAUCGGCCACACUGGGACUGAGACACGGCCCAGACUCACACGGGAGGCAGCAGUAGGGAGUCUGCAGGAAUGGGCGGAAGUCUGAGCGAGCAACGCGGAGUGAGUGAAGAAGGUUUUCGGAUCGGAAAGCUCUGUUGUAAGAGAAGAACGAGUGUGAGAGUGGAAAGUUCACACUGUGACGGUAUCUUACCAGAAAGGGACGGCUAACUACGUG